GGGGGUAUAGCUCAGUGGUGGAGUGCGUCUGGCAUGCACAAGAUUCUGGAUUCAACUCCCAGUGCCUCCA
rnacentral:tRNA from 1 species